rnacentral:lncRNA from 1 species
UUAAGAAAUCAAAUACCAAAACAGACGACCACCCUUACGAAGUUCUAAUCCCAAUUACAAUGUCCUGUUCCGAAGAUAACAAAAAAGCAGUCAUAAUUAAGCUCAUUACUAAACCAUAUUUAAGAUGUAAUUAGCUACCUUCCAUGCAUAUAAGUCCUGUUGGAUUCUCAAGGGCAUAUUGAACCAAUCUCUGGCCAGCUGUUUGAGCAACAGUUGAAAAAGUUGCCUAUGGUCCACAAAAGACCCAGUAACCACAUAGCUUGGAGAGUACGUUUAAUUUGGGUUGCAUAGAUGUAAUAAGAUAUAAGGACAGGGAAAUCCACGAGCUCCGAUUGCAUAAGAAUAAAUCAAGAUUUCUCUCGAUCAAGCUGCUCUAAUGGAAGGGUGUAGAAAAUGCAGUGACCAAUAAUGCAGCGGCUGUAAUCAACCCUGAUUUGCAUUAAAAAAACUACCUGCAAAUUUGAGAAAUUCAUUAAUAUGCAUGUCAUAAUCAGACAGUUUAAACUAAGAAAGAUACGUUUACCAAUCAAUCCAGUCUUGUCUUUUGGUAGAUCUGGAUUUGCACAUAGUAAUAAAUUACGACCGAGAUUAGAAGAAAAGCUUCGGUAAAAUAUUUUUCUCUGUUGGAUGUGCACAAAUUCGAAAUUUCUUAUUGCAGGCACAGCUGUAUACAGGUUAUACACAAAAGGAUUCAUUGGCGCAAUGAAUAUACCUUUCUAGGAAAAUAAGAAACAUAGUUCCUUGACAAAACAGACAGCUUUCAUUAAAAGUAUUAAAAGAGACGAACAGAAAGUUAGAGAAAACUCUUGCAGUGAUACGAAUCCCAAUCUAAGCUCUCAAAGUUGUAGCUAAUUGGAAGAGAUCUCUCGGGCAGUAUUAACCUUCUUCUACAAGUGCUUGCAUUUUACUAGCGCAUACGAAGGAGGAGAGCAUUUGUAUUACCG